rnacentral:lncRNA from 1 species
UUUCUAGGAUUUUAGAAUAUAAAGGAGUACCUGUUGAAGGAGAGCUUGUUCAAACCAUUGAAGCAGUGGGUUCAGAAAUUGGAGAUACUACCUUUCGACAGAUGGGAUUCAUUACCAGGGGACNUGUCCUUAUUCACAAAGAUGAUGACCAUCCUGAUNAUGAUGAAGAUGAUGAUAUGGAUACUCAUAUGGCUGACCCAGUCAAUGCUGCUGCUCCAUCUGGUGCUGGACCCUCUAACAUACCCUCUUCUUCCUCAACUUCUAUGGAAGAACACUUUGCAAGGUUAUCUAAACAAUUAGAGGAUAUGUCUCUAGCCC